rnacentral:rRNA from 1 species
AUUGAACGCUGGCGGCAUGCUUUACACAUGCAAGUCGAGCGGUAACAGGCCUUCGGGUGCUGACGAGUGGCGAACGGGUGAGUAAUGCAUCGGAACGUACCCAGUCGUGGGGGAUAACUAUCCGAAAGGAUAGCUAAUACCGCAUACGUCCUGAGGGAGAAAGCGGGGGACCGAAAGGCCUCGCGCGAUUGGAGCGGCCGAUGUCAGAUUAGCUAGUUGGUGGGGUAAAGGCCUACCAAGGCGACGAUCUGUAGCGGGUCUGAGAGGAUGAUCCGCCACACUGGGACUGAGACACGACCCAGACUCCUACGGGAGGCAGCAGUGGGGAAUUUUGGACAAUGGGGGCAACCCUGAUCCAGCCAUGCCGCGUGAGUGAAGAAGGCCUUCGGGUUGUAAAGCUCUUUCGGACGGAACGAAAUGGGCGGGACUAAUACUCCUGUCCGAUGACGGUACCGUAAGAAGAAGCACCGGCUAACUACGUGCCAGCCGCCGCGGUAACAC